GUGGGGAAUAUUGGACAAUGGGCGAAAGCCUGAUCCAGCCAUGCCGCGUGUGUGAAGAAGGUCUUCGGAUUGUAAAGCACUUUAAGUUGGGAGGAAGGGCAGUAAGUUAAUACCUUGCUGUUUUGACGUUACCGACAGAAUAAGCACCGGCUAACUUCGUGCCAGCAGCCGCGGUAAUACGAAGGGUGCAAGCGUUAAUCGGAAUUACUGGGCGUAAAGCGCGCGUAGGUGGUUCAGUAAGUUGGAAGUGAAAUCCCCGGGCUCAACCUGGGAACUGCUUUCAAAACUGUUGAGCUAGAGUACGGUAGAGGGUGGUGGAAUUUCCUGUGUAGCGGUGAAAUGCGUAGAUAUAGGAAGGAACACCAGUGGCGAAGGCGACCACCUGGACUGAUACUGACACUGAGGUGCGAAAGCGUGGGGAGCAAACAGGAUUAGAAACCCUGGUAGUCC
rnacentral:rRNA from 1 species